AGCCCCGUAGUGUAGCGGUCCAGCACCCUCGGCUCUGGACCGGGGAACCCAGGUUCGAGUCCUGGCGGGGCUACCA
rnacentral:tRNA from 1 species